rnacentral:rRNA from 1 species
AUUGAACGCUGGCGGCAGGCGGGACACAGGCAAGGCGAACGGCAGCACGAAAGAGCGGGCGCGGGGGGGGGCGAGGGGCGAACGGGGGAGGAAGGCAGCGGAACGGACCGAGUAAGGGGGGAUAACGGUCCGAAAGGAUAGCUAAUACCGCAUACGCUUUGAGAAGGAAAGUGGGGGCUCUUCGGACCUCACGUUAUUCGAGCGGCCGAUGUCUGAUUAGCUAGUUGGUGGGGUAAAGGCCUACCAAGGCGACGAUCAGUAGCGGGUCUGAGAGGAUGAUCCGCCACACUGGGACUGAGACACGGCCCAGACUCCUACGGGAGGCAGCAGUGGGGAAUUUUGGACAAAGGGCGCAAGCCUGAUCCAGCCAUGCCGCGUGUCUGAAGAAGGCCUUCGGGUUGUAAAGGACUUUUGUUAGGGAAGAAAAGGAUAGUGUUAAUACCAUUAUCUGCUGACGGUACCUAAAGAAUAAGCACCGGCUAACUACGUG